GUGAAGACUGUCAGUCAGAUCGAGACGCACUGUCCUGUUCGAGUUUACUUUUGUGAAUGUGUCCUUUUUAUUGAAAAUCACGUCGAGACAGGAUCAACAUGAGUGAAUGAAUGGAGUUCACUGGAAGAAGAAACAGUCUCGGAGUACGCAUCCUCCUUGGUAUACUUUUGAAUCAAGUUUCGAAAAGUACGUAGAAAAGAAAAACAAUUAUAUUUCGACUCAUUGCAUCAAAUACCUGUUCGGAAUAAACAUUGUUUUGUGUGAUAGGUAGUUUACGUGCAGUAAGCGAUA